AGAUUAAGUUAUUAAGGGCGCACGGUGGAUGCCUUGGCACUAGAAGCCGAUGAAGGACGUUACUAACGACGAUAUGCUUUGGGGAGCUGUAAGUAAGCUUUGAUCCAGAGAUUUCCGAAUGGGGAAACCCAGCAUGAGUUAUGUCAUGUUAUCGAUAUGUGAAUACAUAGCAUAUCAGAAGGCACACCCGGAGAACUGAAACAUCUUAGUACCCGGAGGAAGAGAAAGAAAAUUCGAUUCCCUUAGUAGCGGCGAGCGAAACGGGAAGAGCCCAAACCAACAAGCUUGCUUGUUGGGGUUGUAGGACACUCUAUACGGAGUUACAAAGGACGACAUUAGACGAAUCAUCUGGAAAGAUGAAUCAAAGAAGGUAAUAAUCCUGUAGUCGAAAAUGUUGUCUCUCUUGAGUGGAUCCUGAGUACGACGGAGCACGUGAAAUUCCGUCGGAAUCUGGGAGGACCAUCUCCUAAGGCUAAAUACUCUCUAGUGACCGAUAGUGAACCAGUACCGUGAGGGAAAGGUGAAAAGCACCCCGGAAGGGGAGUGAAAUAGAACCUGAAACCGUGUGCUUACAAGUAGUCAGAGCCCGUUAAUGGGUGAUGGCGUGCCUUUUGUAGAAUGAACCGGCGAGUUACGAUUUGAUGCAAGGUUAAGCAGUAAAUGUGGAGCCGUAGCGAAAGCGAGUCUGAAUAGGGCGUUUAGUAUUUGGUCGUAGACCCGAAACCAGGUGAUCUACCCUUGGUCAGGUUGAAGUUCAGGUAACACUGAAUGGAGGACCGAACCGACUUACGUUGAAAAGUGAGCGGAUGAACUGAGGGUAGCGGAGAAAUUCCAAUCGAACCUGGAGAUAGCUGGUUCUCUCCGAAAUAGCUUUAGGGCUAGCCUCAAGUGAUGAUUAUUGGAGGUAGAGCACUGUUUGGACGAGGGGCCCCUCUCGGGUUACCGAAUUCAGACAAACUCCGAAUGCCAAUUAAUUUAACUUGGGAGUCAGAACAUGGGUGAUAAGGUCCGUGUUCGAAAGGGAAACAGCCCAGACCACCAGCUAAGGUCCCAAAAUAUAUGUUAAGUGGAAAAGGAUGUGGCGUUGCCCAGACAACUAGGAUGUUGGCUUAGAAGCAGCCAUCAUUUAAAGAGUGCGUAAUAGCUCACUAGUCGAGUGACACUGCGCCGAAAAUGUACCGGGGCUAAACAUAUUACCGAAGCUGUGGAUUGUCCUUUGGACAAUGGUAGGAGAGCGUUCUAAGGGCGUUGAAGCAUGAUCGUAAGGACAUGUGGAGCGCUUAGAAGUGAGAAUGCCGGUGUGAGUAGCGAAAGACGGGUGAGAAUCCCGUCCACCGAUUGACUAAGGUUUCCAGAGGAAGGCUCGUCCGCUCUGGGUUAGUCGGGUCCUAAGCUGAGGCCGACAGGCGUAGGCGAUGGAUAACAGGUUGAUAUUCCUGUACCACCUAUAAUCGUUUUAAUCGAUGGGGGGACGCAGUAGGAUAGGCGAAGCGUGCGAUUGGAUUGCACGUCUAAGCAGUAAGGCUGAGUAUUAGGCAAAUCCGGUACUCGUUAAGGCUGAGCUGUGAUGGGGAGAAGACAUUGAGUCUUCGAGUCGUUGAUUUCACACUGCCGAGAAAAGCCUCUAGAUAGAAAAUAGGUGCCCGUACCGCAAACCGACACAGGUAGUCAAGAUGAGAAUUCUAAGGUGAGCGAGCGAACUCUCGUUAAGGAACUCGGCAAAAUGACCCCGUAACUUCGGGAGAAGGGGUGCUCUUUAGGGUUAACGCCCAGAAGAGCCGCAGUGAAUAGGCCCAAGCGACUGUUUAUCAAAAACACAGGUCUCUGCUAAACCGUAAGGUGAUGUAUAGGGGCUGACGCCUGCCCGGUGCUGGAAGGUUAAGAGGAGUGGUUAGCUUCUGCGAAGCUACGAAUCGAAGCCCCAGUAAACGGCGGCCGUAACUAUAACGGUCCUAAGGUAGCGAAAUUCCUUGUCGGGUAAGUUCCGACCCGCACGAAAGGCGUAACGAUUUGGGCACUGUCUCAACGAGAGACUCGGUGAAAUCAUAGUACCUGUGAAGAUGCAGGUUACCCGCGACAGGACGGAAAGACCCCGUGGAGCUUUACUGUAGCCUGAUAUUGAAAUUCGGCACAGCUUGUACAGGAUAGGUAGGAGCCUUUGAAACGUGAGCGCUAGCUUACGUGGAGGCGCUGGUGGGAUACUACCCUAGCUGUGUUGGCUUUCUAACCCGCACCACUUAUCGUGGUGGGAGACAGUGUCAGGCGGGCAGUUUGACUGGGGCGGUCGCCUCCUAAAAGGUAACGGAGGCGCUCAAAGGUUCCCUCAGAAUGGUUGGAAAUCAUUCAUAGAGUGUAAAGGCAUAAGGGAGCUUGACUGCGAGACCUACAAGUCGAGCAGGGUCGAAAGACGGACUUAGUGAUCCGGUGGUUCCGCAUGGAAGGGCCAUCGCUCAACGGAUAAAAGCUACCCCGGGGAUAA
rnacentral:rRNA from 1 species